rnacentral:rRNA from 1 species
CCUACGGGGGGCUGCAGUGGGGAAUAUUGGACAAUGGGGGCAACCCUGAUCCAGCCAUGCCGCGUGUGUGAAGAAGGCCCUCGGGUUGUAAAGCACUUUCAGUGAGGAAGAACGCCUGGUGGUUAAUACCCAUCAGGAAAGACAUCACUCACAGAAGAAGCACCGGCUAACUCCGUGCCAGCAGCCGCGGUAAUACGGAGGGUGCGAGCGUUAAUCGGAAUUACUGGGCGUAAAGCGCGCGUAGGUGGCUUGAUAAGCCGGUUGUGAAAGCCCCGGGCUCAAACUGGGAACGGCAUCCGGAACUGUCAAGCUAGAGUGCAGGAGAGGAAGGUAGAAUUCCCGGUGUAGCGGUGAAAUGCGUAGAGAUCGGGAGGAAUACCAGUGGCGAAGGCGGCCUUCUGGACUGACACUGACACUGAGGUGCGAAAGCGUGGGUAGCAAACAGGAUUAGCUACCCUAGUAGUC